CCUGCAAAAUGUUCUAUCGCUGUCUGCGCAAGCGGAGAGAGGAAAGUCCGGGCAACAUAGGGCAUCCUGCUUCCUAACGGGAAGGCGCCAUGGCAUGGCGACAGAAAGUGCCACAGAAAAUAUACCGCCCGUUGUGGGUAAGGGUGAAAACGCGAGGUAAGAGCUCACGGCUUUUCCGGGUGACCGGAAUCGCGGUAAACCUCAGGAGUUGAAAAACCAAAUAGGUCCCGUGCAUGAAGCGGCCCGCUUCAGAUGGCCGCAAGGCUGUCAACGGGAUGGGUAGGUUGCUUGAGCUGCAGAGCAAUUUGCAGCCCAGAUAAAUGAUAGAAACCGCCGCAUGGCGGAUACAGAACCCGGCUUACAGCUUUGCUGCCAUA
rnacentral:RNase_P_RNA from 1 species